CAUAGCGCGGUGGUCCCACCUGACCCCAUGCCGAACUCAGAAGUGAAACGCCGUAGCGCCGAUGGUAGUGUGGGGUCUCCCCAUGCGAGAGUAGGGAACUGCCAGGC
rnacentral:rRNA from 1 species